rnacentral:rRNA from 1 species
AACGAACGCUGGCGGCGUGCNUAACACAUGCAAGUCGAACGGGAAAGCCCGCAAGGGUGAGUACAGUGGCGCACGGGUGCGUAACACGUGGGUAAUCUGCCCAGAAGCCCGGAAUAACUCCCCGAAAGGGGUGCUAAUGCCGGAUAAGACCACGGGGACUUCGGUUCCUGGGGGAAAAGGUGGCCUCUGUAUACAAGCUAUCUCUUCUGGAUGAGCCCGCGGCCCAUCAGCUAGUUGGCGGGGUAAUGGCCCACCAAGGCUACGACGGGUAGCUGGUCUGAGAGGACGAUCUGCCACACUGGAACUGAGACACGGUCCAGACUCCUACGGGAGGCAGCAGUGGGGAAUCUUGCGCAAUGGGCGAAAGCCUGACGCAGCAACGCCGCGUGUGUGAUGAAGGUCUUCGGAUCGUAAAGCACUGUCGGGAGGGACGAAUAAGGGCCGGGUGAACAAUCCGGUCUGACGACUGUACCUCCAAAGGAAGCACCGGCUAACUCUGUGCCAGCAGCCGCGGUGAUACAGAGGGUGCUAGCGUUGUUCGGAAUUAUUGGGCGUAAAGCGCGUGUAGGCGGCCAACCAAGUCGGAUGUGAAAGCCCUCGGCUUAACCGAGGAAGUGCGUUCGAUACUAGUUGGCUUGAGUACCGGAGAGGGUGGUGGAAUUCCCGGUGUAGAGGUGAAAUUCGUAGAUAUCGGGAGGAACACCAGUGGCGAAGGCGACCACCUGGACGGAUACUGACGCUGAGACGCGAAAGCGUGGGGAGCAAACAGGAUUAGAUACCCUGGUAGUCCACGCUGUAAACGAUGAGCGCUAGGUGUUGCGGGUGUUGACCCCUGCAGUGCCGAAGCUAACGCAUUAAGCGCUCCGCCUGGGAAGUACGGCCCGCAAGGCUAAACUCAAAG